GAUGAAGAACGUAGCGAAAUGCGAUACUUGGUGUGAAUUUCAGAAUCCCGUGAACCAUCGAGUUUUUGAACGCAAGUUGCGCCCGAAGCCGUUAGGCCGAGGGCACGCCUGCCUGGGUGUCACAGAUCGUUGCCCCAAUGCCAAUCGCCUCACUUUGUAGGUAUUUGCUUGGGGUGAAUGUUGGCCUCCCGUGAGCUUUGUCUCACGGUUGGUUGAAAAUCGAGUGCAUGGUGUCGGGUGUACCAUGAUGGAUGGUGGUUGAGUGAUGAUGCUCGGGACCAAUCAUGGGUAACUCCACCAGAAUUGGGCUCGGUGACCCACAUGCGUCCCUUGGAUGCUCCCUAAGGAGACCUCAGGUCAGGCGGGGCUACCCGCUGAGUUUAAGCAUAUCAAUAAGCGGAGGA
rnacentral:misc_RNA from 1 species